GCGACACUUCUCAACCCUUAGAAACAAGGCCUAAAGCGUGUAUUGGCAGCUUCCAUCAUCACUUCUUGCAGUUGGAUCAAAGUUUUCUGCAGUAGGAUCAGUACAUCCUUCAGGAACUGGAACAUUCAUUUGCUGGGCUGCUUUGCCUGCAACAGCAAAAUUUACCCCCAAAAAAAAAAAUGCUUUGUUAUUCUUCAUUUGAUCUCAAUUUAUGCUCUAAAUUUGGUAGAAUGCUAGUAGCAAACCUCCCAUCAAGGCCUCUUAGCUAGGAUCAAGGGGGCUAACCAUAGAAAUUUCCACUCUGAAUAGCAUCUUCAUUAGCUUCACCAAGAGCGGCCUCACUCAAAUACUUGUCAGCCAACUGAACUCUCUUCACAUUCUCUUGCUCUUGCACAAUCAUGUUUCCGUACUCGAGCAGCUUCUCCAUUGUCAUCCUUGGUUGCUCGAAUGUUGGGGCUGCUUCCUUUGAGUUCACAAGGCUCUUGCCAAUGCUUCCAACACCAACACCAGAGAUCCACUUCCUCACCUCAUCAUCAUAGACUCUGGCCCUCAGGGCUCCAAAGAAAUCUAAAACGCAGUCAAAUGAGUGAUUAGCUAGUGUGCAUUUGAUGGGGAGUUUGCAUCAUCAACGGAACUGGAAACUUACCAAUGGAUUGGCCGGGGAAGGUGUCGACAAGCUUGACAAUGUCGUCAUCAGCCACAUUGUCAUUCCUGAAGAUACCCUUGCACACACCAAUACGGUCCUCCCUUGUAGGUGCCCAGUAGAAUUUCUCCAUACGACCAUCACGGAUGAGAGGAGCAUACAAUGUUGAGAAGUCAUUACCGGUGACUAUGAUUGGGACACGGGGGUUCUCCUCCUUGUUGUACAUACCAGGGAGUUGGACACAAGUUGGGUUAUCAGCAAUGUUCAUGAGUGUGGCGUUAACCAUUUGGUUGUUAACUGUGUACUGGGUGGUGCCACCCAUACGACCAGCUCCUGCAUCAAGAUCAUUGAUCAUGAGGCAGCACAUUUUUCCCUUCUUGAUAAUGUCAGCUGCCUCACGGUACCUCUGCCUGAUCAACUUAGCGGGUUCUCCAGCAUUGCCACUUUCCAAUUCUCCGGCACUCAUCAUAAUUGGGCUGAAAAAUCAUUAUCAUAACAUCACAGAGUAAGUACGCACCAAACAUAUCCUCAAACCCAAAAAAAUGACAAGAGAGCAUGGACUCACUUGAUGCCCAUCUUGGCGAAAACAAGCUCACAUUGGAAUGAUUUUCCUUGCCCUUUGCCUCCCCAUAUACCCAAGAUGAGAGGAACCUGUAAAAAUGUAAGUUUUGAAAAAUUAUUAAUCACAUUUCCCUAAAUGUAUUCAUCACUACAGAAACUAUAAGUAAAUAUACCUUGAUGUUGGGCAGGGACAUGAAGUUCUUGGUGAUGUGAACAACAAGCUUGUCCAUGAAAGCAGGGGCAAUGUAGAGACCGUCCAUCGUGUUGUCCAAGUUGUAUCUAAAUCAUCAAAUCAAAUCAAUCCAUGAUCGAAGCCAGGCACUGAUAAUAAUCGAUUAACGAUUGAUGAAUAAGCAUCAUAUAUACUUACGUGCGGAGACCUUGGCUGAUGUAGUCAUAAGAACUCAUGACAGCAUAGUGAGUUCCGGUUCCCAUGGGGGCUUGGAACAGAGAGUCCACAGCACCUUUUCCUCUGGUGAUGUCUUGCUGGUCAUCAGAUUCGUCGUAGGCAAGGCCCUUCCAUCUGUCCUUCUUGGUCUGCUUGUUCUCAUCGACUUCAGCAGUAAUCUUGAAGCUCGCAGAAGGGACCUUGGAUGGGGGGAUCCUUGAGCUUACCUUCUUCAAGCUGGUGCCAAAGAAAGAUGAGCUUGGGACAGAGGUUGCAGCACCAGAGCCAUUGAAGCUCAACUGUUCCCAAAAAUGAACUUAGCCCGUAAGAUUUAACCAUCCAAUAUGAACACCAAUCUCUACUUCUUCAAUUUCUAGACAAAUUAAGCUACUUUUAGUAAGAUUAGCCCAUGCAGACACAAAAUCAGAUACAGACUUUCCCUACAAUUAUAUAUACAUGCAAAAAUACUAAGAUAUACAUGAACUUAGGUUCGUACUAAUCAACAAGUUCCUAAUCUCUAGUCAGUUAAGAGCAAAAUCACAAGCUUCUUUCAUUAACUAAUGAUAAGAAUACAGUCCAAAUUAAACAAAUGGAGCUAAAUAGGCUAAUUAAUAAAUAGUAACGAAGAAGCAAGCUAAGCCAUGGAAAGAUGGCGGGAAAAAGAAAUAUAACAGUACCGGUACAGCAGCAGCCAUUAGGCUAGCGAGAAUUGGACGGCUGUGAUUGAAGUAGCUAAAGGGUCACGCUGCAAUGCAGGCAAAGGAAAGCGAAGCAAUGCGCUGGGUGCGUGUUGUGCU
rnacentral:lncRNA from 1 species